UACGGAGGAUGCGAGCGUUAUCCGGAUUUAUUGGGUUUAAAGGGUGCGUAGGUGGGCUUUUAAGUCAGCGGUAAAAAUUCGGGGCUCAACCCCGUCCGGCCGUUGAAACUGGGGGCCUUGAGUGGGCGAGAAGAAGGCGGAAUGCGUGGUGUAGCGGUGAAAUGCAUAGAUAUCACGCAGAACCCCGAUUGCGAAGGCAGCCUUCCGGCGCCCUACUGACGCUGAGGCACGAAAGUGCGGGGAUCGAACAGG
rnacentral:rRNA from 1 species